GGUGGCUCAGUGGUAGAGUGCUUGCCUCAUAUGCAUGAAUUCCUGGGUUCAAUUCCUCAGCACCA
rnacentral:tRNA from 1 species